GGUUCAUGAUUCUUGGAUAAUCGUAACCAUUUAUUUCAGCAGCAGGCUUUUGGUACUUCACAUAUCCAUUUUUCAUGCGAGCAUGGCUUGUCCUGUGGUACAAAGGUGAUCUGGGACCACAAGGAACUCUCUCAGCAAUUGAUGGAAAUCCCACUGGUUCAGUAAGCAUUCCUUGGUUGGCUCUAACAUCAUAGACACUAGUGACAGCAGCAGAAAUCAACAUAU
rnacentral:misc_RNA from 1 species